CAUCAAGUGUGAACAGCUCCCACAUCUGACAUCUCUCUCACCCAAAUCCAUCCUCAUUUCCUCAAACCCAUUUUCACGUCUCACAUCUUCACCCUUUUCACCGUCUCACCAUCAAAUGGACUCUGUCACCGUCAUCCGACGCCACAAAAAACGGAUGGAGAAACAGAUCCGCCACUAUCGCUCGUUGCCGGUGGAGAAACAGAUCUGCCAUCAUCGCUCGUCGCCGGUGUAGAAACAGAUCUGCUAGAUCAUUAAUCCCAGUGUGAAAUUUGUGGAGCAAGAGUUAUGGGAAAGAAGAUAAUGGAGUGAUUGGGAUUCUCCUUGUUCAAGAUUCUGCAGAGGCUAGUACUGUGGAUCCUGCUUUGUCUCCAAGCAUGGGAACUGAUUCUAUAGAGUGUACCUUGAAAAAUCAAGCUAGCAUAUCAGAUUUUAACAAACAUGAUGAAAAAAGUCUGCAGCAAGUUCACUAGCAUAAGUGGGGAGUGGCUGAUCGAGCUCUGCAUCUCUCAAGAGGAGUAGAGAGACCAAGUGGGAGAGUGACUUACACAGUUGUGCUAGAAGGACUUUGCAGAUUCCGUGUACAGGAGAUAAGUACCAAAGGGACUUAUUACACAACACGAAUUACUUCUCUUGAGUUGACUAAAGCCGAGAUGGAGCAAGUUGAGCAAGACCAGGAAUUCAUUGUCUUGUCAUGUCAAUCCAAAGCUACUGCAAUGGAGCUUAUCUCUGUUCUUGACCAGGUAUAUAAAUUGUAU